rnacentral:rRNA from 1 species
CAGGGGAGCCCUAGCACAGGUGCUGCAUGGCCGUCGUCAGCUCGUGCCGUGAGGUGUUGGGUUAAGUCCCGCAACGAGCGCAACCCCCGCCGUUAGUUGCCAGCGGUUCGGCCGGGCACUCUAACGGGACUGCCCGCGAAAGCGGGAGGAAGGAGGGGACGACGUCUGGUCAGCAUGGCCCUUACGGCCUGGGCGACACACGUGCUACAAUGCCCACUACAAAGCGAUGCCACCCGGCAACGGGGAGCUAAUCGCAAAAAGGUGGGCCCAGUUCGGAUUGGGGUCUGCAACCCGACCCCAUGAAGCCGGAAUCGCUAGUAAUCGCGGAUCAGCCAUGCCGCGGUGAAUACGUUCCCGGGCCUU